CCGAAAACUAUGCAACCUAAAUGGAUAUUACAGACAUUCCUGAUAUUUGCAACUAUCCUGAAAGACCCUGUUAUAACUAUCUGUAACUGCAGUUCUGCCUCCAAACCAAAGAGGCUGAUCAACUAAACAUUUAACUUGUAUUACUUAAUCCUUGAUAUUCGGUUUGGUUCAGACUAGUAGUAUUUUAUUUACCUGUAACCUAUAAUUUCAGUUCUAGGUUUCCCUUUUCUUUAUUUACCUGUAAUACCACUUCUAAGCUAUGUUACUGAAUA